AAAAUACAAAAUAACCAAAAUCCAUAACCAAUUGAGUCCUAUCCUAACAAACCUUAUCUCAACAAAAUCACACCUCACCACCCUGUUCCUACCCCACCUCGCUACCCUACCCUUACCCAUGUUUUUGUCCAACCGAAAUACAUAUACGGCUACAGAAUUGAAAAGAAGGGGAAGGGGGGCCCACAUGAUAUUCCUUUUUCGUCUUUCUUUCCAAAUGGAUAAGGGGGACUUUUUUUGCUUGGGCUAUCAUCACAAAGAAUAAAAUAUAUAUACACCAUUGCACACAAUUUUCAUUUUGGGGAUGGGGGAGGGAGGGACCCGCAGGGAACACAAUAUUCUCUCCGUUCUUUAUAUAUAUCACACACAGGCCCUCCUCAUCAGAGAGUAACAACAAUACCCUCACACUGACCUCACCAUCACACACCCAUAUACACUACACACUCUUAAUUCUACCGGGAUACACACAGAAACGGAUAGAUAAGAGAUGACGUGAGAAAGAGAGAGCUGUUAGAGAGUGAGAAAGAAAUCUGUGAGAGAGUGACAGAGAUUUAUGAGAGAGGGAGAGAUUCGCGAUUGAAAUCGAAAGAGAAUGAUGGCAAAGCAGUUUUCGGUGAGUGAGAGCUUGAGGAACACGAGUUUGGAGGUUUGAUUACUGUUCCGGGGAUAGGCUCGCCGGAAUAGCGUCUAGCUAUCGUAAAUUUGUUCAAAACCCAACGAAUACGUCUCAACUGAUAUAUCUUUGUCAUUUUGGUCAUAGCAGAAGUUUAUUGGGGUUACAACAACACAAAAUUAUCAAACAAACCUCGAUCUGCUUUUGAUUCCGUCCAAACCCGUUGGAAUUGGGCCGGAUUUCUCUUAUUUCUCAUGAUUUUUUGUUCGAGGUUGUGUGGGUUUGUGAGAAUCUAGUCCAGGUCUCUUUGUUUUUGUGAUUCUCAGUUUCGAGUUGGAUGAGUUCAUUUGUUUGAGGUUCGGUUCGAGGUUUCUGGGCGUGGAUUCUCUUUAUUCGAAUAACAUUGAAUUUGAAAGCUACGAAUCAAGUUUUGAUUUUGAUUUCAAGAGGCCGCCUGAAGAAUAGGGUGAUGGAACUGCAAGUUAGGAGCCCGCCUGAAGAACAGGGUGAUGAAGCUGUAAGUCAGGAGCCUGCCUGAAGAACAGAGUGAUGAACUUGAAAGACAAAUAUGGCAAGUUAGAAGCCCGCCUGUAGAGCAGGGCGAAUAAAUAAAAGUCCAGCAACAUGGUGAAAAAGUUGAAAGUCAAGCGACAAGGUGAAAAAAUUAAAAGUUAAACAGUUGAUGAAAUAGCAAGUGAGGAACCUGCCUGAAGAACAAGGUGAAGAAAUUAAAAACCAAGCAACAAGUUGAAGAAAUUGCAAGUCAGGAGCCCACCUGAAGAACAGGGUGAUGAAACUCAAGUCAAAAGUCCAAAAGAUUUUGUAAUUUCAUUUAUAUUUUUAACUUGUAAUUUUCAUUUUUGAUGUAAUGAUAGAUCCGCAGACCGGAGCCUCGACGGGACCUCACUCGACUCUCCAACUCGGUAGUCUUUCUACCUUCUAUUUCUUUCUUUGAAUAAUGUUCGGGUCAAAAUUUGAUCUCAUUGUCUACUUCUUUGUCUGAAAACACUUCGUGUUUACAUUCAAAGGGGGCAUGAUGUAGAUACCUAAUUUUGUCCCUCCCGAAUUUAAUUUUACCCAUUUUUUAACUUACCUUACCAUGAACCCUCAACCAUGUACUUAUCCCCCCAAAAAAUACAAAAAUAACCAAAAUCCAUAACCAAUUGAGUCAUAUCCUAACAAACCUUAUCUCAACAAAAUCACACCUCACCACCCUGCCCCUACCCCACCUCGCUACCCUACCCCCUAACCCAUUUUUUUGUCCAACAAAAAUACAUUUACGGCUACAGAAUUGAAAAGAAGAGGGAAGGGGGCCCACAUGAUAUUCCUUUUUAGUUUUUCUUUCCAAAUGGAUUAGGGGGGCCUUUUUUGCUUGGGACAUCAUCACAAAGAAUAAAAUAUAUAUACACCAUUGCACACAAUUUUCAUUUUUAGGGGGGAGGGACUCGCAGAGAACACAAUAUUCUCUCCAGUCUUUAUAUAUAUCACACACAGGCCCUCCUCAUCAGAGAGUAACAACAAUACCCUCACAGUAAUAUCACUGUCACACACCCAUAUACACUACACACUCUUAAUUUUACCAGGAUACACACAGAAAUAGAUAGAUAAGAGAUGACGUGAGAAAGAGAGAGCUACAAGAAAGUGACACAGAUCUAUGAGAGAGAUAUCUACGAGAGAGUGAUAGAGAUUUACGAGAGAGAGAGAUCUACGAUUGAAAUCGAAAGAGAACAAUGGCAAAGCAGUUUUCGGCGAGUGAGAGCUUGAGGAACACAAGUUUUGUGGUUUGAUUACUGUUCCGGCGACAGGCUCGCCGGAAUUGCGUCUAGCUAUCAUAAAUUCAUUCAAAACCCAUUGAAUACGUCUCAACUGAUAUCUAUUUGUCGUUUUGGUCAUAGCUGAAGUUUACCGGGGUUACAACGACACAAAAUUAUCAAACAAACCUCGAUCUACUUUUGAUUCGGUCCAAACCCAUUGGAAUCGGGCUGGAUUUCUCUUAUUUCUAAUGAUUUUUAGUUCGAGGUUGUGUACGUUCGUGAGAAUUUGGUCCAGGUCUCUUUGUUUCUAUGAUUCUCAAUUUUGAGUUAGAUGAGUUCGUUUGUUUGAGGUUCGGUUCAAGGUUUCCGAGUGCGGAUUCUCUUUAUUCGAAUAACAUUGAGUUUGAAAGCUACAAAUCGAGGUCCAAUUUUAUUA